GUAAAAAACAUAACCCAUGUCUGCAAAACCUACUCAUUAGUAUAUCCACCGCUGACCAGAGACGCAGAGCUUUCCUUGCGCCCGGGGCCCUUCAGGACCGGCCGCUUUUGAAGAGACAAGACUCCUCAGGAACCUCAGACUCUGGACCAUUGGUCCUACAGUCUUUCCAAAUCAAACCUGUAGUUUUGUUCCCCAAAUUUUCAGCUAAAGCACCUUGGAGUUUGUAUCAGUACUCCAUUCAUCUGGCCUCUGUUUUAUUUUCAAGUGCCGCCGAGACUCCAAUUAUCAGCGGGAGGCUUAUUUUUCCUCUUCUUCUUUUUUCUUUUCCUAUUUUUCUUUCUUUUUCGUCAAAGGCAAGUCCUUUUGACUAUAAACUGAUUCCUUUGAGAGAGACACAAUGGUUGUUCGUGGUACCCAGCUCUUAAGGACUUUAAAUGUGUAUUUCAGAACAUAUGGACCAAGUUAAGGUAGAGACAGAAAAAGGAGUUUUCUACAAUCUCUCACUUAUUGUAAUGUCGAGCUAAUAUCCUGCGUCAGGAAUUGACAUGAAUGUCCCUAUACAUCUUUCUGCCACAAACUUGAGGACGUCUUCAACGUGGGUCUGGACCAUGCCGGCCAGGGGGGCGACCUGAGCCUGGACGGAGGCGGCCAGAGGCUUGAUGUGCUCUUCAAUGUUGCUGGAGAGGGGCUUCAGCUGCUCCUGGAGCUUCUCAAUCAUGGGCUGGAACUGGGCUCUGCUCUGCUCGAGUUCACAGUUAAGAUGAUGGACUUACUUGGCCUUGUUGGCCAGCUCAGGGCCCUCAACGUUCUUCAGAUUGUCCACAAGGUCCUGGAAGUACUUGGCGAUCUGGUCCAGCUCAGCAGGAGCGUCUCUCUUGACCAGAGAUACUGAC